CAGUAGUCUUCUCUGACUGUCUUCCAUUUAGCACACUGGUUUGGGGUUCAUACUAUAGCAUAUUUGCUCUUUUUUAUUGCUGAAUAGUACUCCAUUGAAUGGACAUACCACAUUCUGUCUAGGUCACCAAUGAGUGGACAUUUGAAUUAUUUCUGAAUGUUCAAUGCUGAUAUGAACAGUUGCAUCUGAGUCUUUGUGUGGAUGUCUGUUUUCAUUUAUCUUGGGUAGAAAAUCUACUUAGAAUUGUUGGAUCUCAUGGUAAGUUGAUGCUUAGCUUUUUUUUUAAUAUUAAAAUUUUAAAGAAGCUUAAACAUGGAUAUACAGGUUUACAUUCCCACCAGGUCCCAGUCGUCUCCAGAUCCCCCACAACACUUGUCAACAGUGUCAGUUUAAAUAAUAGACAUUGUAAUGCCUGUGAAAUGUCUUCUGGAGAUUUUAAUUUGUAUUUUCCUAAUGCCUAAUUCCAUUAAGCAACUUUCAUCCACUUCUUAGUCAUUCCUGCAUCUUUUUAAAUUAAUGUCUAUUCAAAUCUUUUAUCCAUUUUAGUUGGUUUGUCUUGUUAGUGAAUGUUCAGUGUUCUUUACAUAUUUUGAAUACAAGUCCUUCAUCUCUUUUGCAAUCUGAUUUGCAGUUUUUUCUGUCCAUCUAUAGCUUGAGUGUGUGUGUGUGUGUGUGUGAGUGUGACCAGGGAUUGAACCCAUGGCCUUGCCCAUGCUAGGCAAGGAUUGUUUCAUUGGGCCAUACUCUUCUCUUUUAGUUUUCUCAAAGGUUUUGAUUUGUUUUCUUGAUAGUGGUGCUGAGGGCCAAACCCAGGCAUGAUGGACAAGCGCUAAUGGGGUCUUCUGAAGUACAAAAGUUUUAUUCUUUUUAUUUCAUUAUAUUUUUAUUUAAUUAGACUUUUUUUUGGGGGGGGGUGUAUUUUAACUAGUUAUCCAUGACAGUGGAGUGCACUUUGACACAUUAUACGUAAAUGGAGUGCAACUUCUCAUCCGUCUGGUCUCAUCUGUCCGGUUGUACGUGAUGUAGAGUUGCACAGGUCUAUGUACUCAUAUGCACGUAGAGUCAUAAUAUCUGAUUCAUUCUUCUAUCCUUCCUACCUCCAUGUCUCCUCCCCUCCCUUCACUCCCCUCUGUCUGGUCUAAAAUACCUCUCCUCCCCCUCCCUAUUGUGAAUUAGCAUCUGAAUAUCAGAGAAAACAUUCAGCCUUUAGUUCUUUGGGAUUGACUUAUUUUGUUUAGCAUGAUAUUCUUUAGUUCCACCCAUUUACCCUCAAAUUGCGUUAUAAUUUCAUUCUUCUUUAAGGCUGAGUAAUAUUCCAUUGAGUAUAUAUACCACAGUUUC
rnacentral:lncRNA from 1 species